GAGGGGUGUGAAUUGAUGAUGAGUUUUUAUGAUUUUUGAGGUGUACUUCAUAAAAAUGGGGUGUAAAUAAGAUUCGUCCAAUUUUUUCAUCAUCCCAAUUUGUUUUGACUUUUGAUGAUGCCUAUAAAAAUGGGCAAAUCCUCCAUAUUCCCAAUCCCAAACGGAAACCAGAAUCGUCUCUUCUUGGAAGCAUAAGCAGCCGUUCCCUCGUAUCUUUAGCUCCCAAGUUGCUUACAAAACCCAGUAAAGGCAGUUUGGUCAGGUCUGCAGUCGCUUUUAGAAUCAGAGUUAUGUCAGCUUAGAUGAGUUUGUCAAUCGUCCUCUCAAUUGGCUGCUGAAAAUGAGGUUCAGGAAGUUAAACUGCUUACUGCAAUCACUGAUGAUCAGGAAUGUGUCAUCAUCGAUAUGAAUUAACCCAUUGAUUCUAAGGCAUUUGCUUCGGUACUUAGAGCAUCGAUUGCUCACUGUAGGCAGCAGGAAGGAUUCUGGUACCACCAUGCAGAGCCAAAAUACUUGGUGCUAGUUUGUCGGAUUCCUGAAGGCAUUAGUACUCUUCCUGCGAAUGCCUCAUACCAAGUGAGCAUUAAGCAUUGGUGCAUUUGUUAUGAAUGAUAAAAGAGAGGUAUGACUACUAAACAAAAAGUUCUCAUCAGUUAAUAUUGUACUGCUCAAGCCCUUAAGACCUCAAGGAAGGCAGUGACUGGGAUUCUUGUAAUUGUUUUGCUGCCAACACCAAAACUUUCUCAUUACCAGGCAAAUACAAGUGGGUAUGAUUAAGACGACAAAUGGCUCUCAGUGUAAAGUUUCAAACAUGCCAUUCUAAUGUUUCCUUCUAGUCUGCCUUCUGUUAUGUCAUCAUCAUUCUUGGUUCCUCUUCCAGCAUCUUUUGCUUCACUUUCUUGCCGUAAACCUUACCUUCUCAUUUUACUAGACUAAAUUUAUCUAGGGUUAGAUAGAUGUCAUUUUGUGUUCGUUUAUUCCAUUUUUCCUUCCCUGAAACCAUUUGUAUUGGGCCAUUUGCUCCAUUUUCGGGGUAGAUCUUUCAAAUGACAUAUGACUUUGCACAAGAGAAGGCAUCCUAUUUCUUUAAUCCAUUGAAGCUUUUUGUAUAAAACCAAAACUCAGUUUUUUUGGACAGGCUAUUCUUUUAAUCAUUUCACGAACUUCAAAUCCCCCCUCCCACCUCCCUCUCUCAUUCUGAAUGUGCGUUCUCCACUAUUCCUUUCCUUGAUGGUACUUAUAGGCUUAUAGCCUUUUAUCUGAAAGAAUCUAAUGUUUUCUUUUAAACAAGUGAUAUCGAGUACUGUGUCAUAUGUUCGAUGCUGGAUUCUGUAUCACUCUUAUUCUAAGUGGCUCUUUGGCCAUAUCUCAAAACUUUUGUUUCCAGCUUACACUUUAGGUGCUAGUGGUCCAAGAAAAGAGUGGCUUGCUCUGUGGAAAAGGCAUUUGGAAGUUUCCUACUGGAGUUGUGAUGAGAUGUGCAUAUUAGUAUGGGUUUAGCAGACUGAGACGGAGUUUAUAGAAGUGCUAUCUUUCAGACAAAGCCACAGGUCAAUCUCAGAUUCCUGUGCCUGGAUGUCAAACAAGAGGGGUCGCAAUAUGCACAAAGAGAACAGAUCUGAGACCCCUCUCUUUCUCAUUCAGGCAUAGGAAUUUUAGAUAGAGGCAGCUGAGGUAAUUUUUGAUGCAAAACGGACAAUGAGAUAGAAACAAUUCCUUACUUUCGACUGAAGAAGAGAAGAAACGUUAACUCCAUAUUUUGGGAGACUUUUAACAUGUGAUGCUUCAUCUUGGCUUGUGUUACCUGCUGUGGAUGCCAUGUGAGGAAUAUGCAGCCCAACCAUUUGUGCAACAAGAUGACUGUGUUAAAAUACUUAUAUGAUGCAUGCUUAGCAAUGAAAGAAAAGGGUUACUCUGGGUUUUCUCCGGUGCCUACAACUUCAAGCUUCUUAGAGAUAGAAGUAUUACUGUCUACUUGUAUAUGAAUAGCCGGGACGGGACGUCAACAGGAAGUUUGGUGACCUUUGAAGCUCUUACUCUGGAAAGUGAUAUUUGAUUUGUUGUAUUUAAACUGAUAUCUCUUGUAUCAUUGAUUCUAAUUUCUGUACUUUUAUUAUCACAAGUUGAGAAGUUGAAUUUCUUUCUCUA